GACAGAGGGUGCAACCGUUGUUCGGAAUUACUGGGCGUAAAGCGCGUGUAGGUGGCAAGGCAAGUCGGGUGUGAAAGCCCUGGGCUCAACCCAGGAAGUGCACUCGAUACUGCCUCGCUAGAGUCCCGGAGAGGUUGGUGGAACUCUCGGUGUAGAGGUGAAAUUCGUAGAUAUCGAGAAGAACACCGGUGGCGAAGGCGGCCAACUGGACGGUGACUGACACUGAGACGCGAAAGCGUGGGGAGCAAACAGG
rnacentral:rRNA from 1 species